GGCGGAGUGGUGUAGUGGUUAGCAUACCCGAUUGGAUAUUGGGAGACCCGGAGUUCAAAUCCCAGCUCCGCCA
rfam:Ixodes scapularis strain Wikel colony gcontig_1108379038886, whole genome shotgun sequence.